UACGUAGGGUGCAAGCGUUGUCCGGAAUUAUUGGGCGUAAAGAGCUCGUAGGCGGUUUGUCGCGUCUGCUGUGAAAACUCGGGGCUUAACUCCGGGCCUGCAGUGGGUACGGGCAGACUAGAGUGCGGUAGGGGAGACUGGAAUUCCUGGUGUAGCGGUGAAAUGCGCAGAUAUCGGAAGGAACAUCAGUGGCGAAAGCGGCUUCCUGGUCCAGCACCGACGUUCAGGCACGAAAGCGUGGGGAGCAAACAGG
rnacentral:rRNA from 1 species